rnacentral:rRNA from 1 species
AUUGAACGCUGGCGGCAUGCCUUACACAUGCAAAUCGAACGGUAACGGGCCUUCGGGUGCCGACGAGUGGCGAACGGGUGAGUAAUACAUCGGAACGUGCCCGAUCGUGGGGGAUAACGAGGCGAAAGCUUUGCUAAUACCGCAUACGAUCUACGGAUGAAAGCAGGGGACCGCAAGGCCUUGCGCGGACGGAGCGGCCGAUGGCAGAUUAGGUAGUUGGUGGGAUAAAAGCUUACCAAGCCGACGAUCUGUAGCUGGUCUGAGAGGAUGAUCAGCCACACUGGGACUAAGACACGGCCCAGACUCCUACGGGAGGCAGCAGUGGGGAAUUUUGGACAAUGGGCGCAAGCCUGAUCCAGCCAUGCCGCGUGCAGGAUGAAGGCCUUCGGGUUGUAAACUGAUUUUGUACGGAACGAAAAGCCUUCUUUUAAUACAGGAGGGUCAUGACGGUACCGUAAGAAUAAGCACCGGCUAACUACGUG